rnacentral:rRNA from 1 species
CCUACGGGUGGCAGCAGUGGGGAAUAUUGGACAAUGGGCGAAAGCCUGAUCCAGCCAUGCCGCGUGUGUGAAGAAGGCCUUCGGGUUGUAAAGCACUUUCAGUGGGGAAGAAAGCCUUGGGGCUAAUACCCUCGAGGAAGGACAUCACCCACAGAAGAAGCACCGGCUAACUCCGUGCCAGCAGCCGCGGUAAUACGGAGGGUGCGAGCGUUAAUCGGAAUUACUGGGCGUAAAGCGCGCGUAGGCGGUCUGAUAAGCCGGUUGUGAAAGCCCCGGGCUCAACCUGGGAACGGCAUCCGGAACUGUCAGGCUAGAGUGCAGGAGAGGAAGGUAGAAUUCCCGGUGUAGCGGUGAAAUGCGUAGAGUUCGGGAGGAAUACCAGUGGCGAAGGCGGCCUUCUGGACUGACACUGACGCUGAGGCGCGAAAGCGUGGGUAGCAAACAGGAUUAGAUACCCCGGUAGUC